CCUACGGGAGGCAGCAGUCGAGAAUCAUUCACAAUGGGGGAAACCCUGAUGGUGCGACGCCGCGUGGGGGAAUGAAGGUCUUCGGAUUGUAAACUCCUGUCAUGUGGGAGCAAAUUAAAAAGAUAGUACCACAAGAGGAAGAGACGGCUAACUCUGUGCCAGCAGCCGCGGUAAUACAGAGGUCUCAAGCGUUGUUCGGCAUCACUGGGCGUAAAGCGUGCGUAGGCUGUUUCGUAAGUCGUGUGUGAAAGGCGGGGGCUCAACCCGCGGACGGCACAUGAUACUGCGAGACUAGAGUAAUGAAGGGGGAAGCGGAAUGCUCGGUGUAGCAGUGAAAUGCGUAGAUAUCGAGAGGAACACUCGUGGCGAAGGCGGGUUCCUGGACAUUAACUGACGCUGAGGCACGAAGGCCAGGGGAGCGAAAGGGAUUAGAUACCCGUGUAGUC
rnacentral:rRNA from 1 species